rnacentral:rRNA from 1 species
UACGUAGGUGACGAGCGUUAUCCGGAUUUAUUGGGCGUAAAGCGCACGCAGGCGGCAGAGAAAGUCUGACGUGAAAUCUCCCGGCUUAACUGGGAGCGGUCGUUGGAAACUACUUGGCUUGAGGCGAUGAGAGGGGUGUGGAAUUCCCGGUGUAGUGGUGGAAUGCGUAGAUAUCGGGAGGAACACCAGUGGCGAAGGCGACUUCCUGGCCUGUUCUUGACGCUGAGGCGCGAAAGCUAGGGUAGCAAACGGG